UCGAACGGCACCCCUCUCCGGAGGGAAGCGAGUGGCGAACGGCUGAGUAACACGUGGAGAACCUGCCCCCUCCCCCGGGAUAGCCGCCCGAAAGGACGGGUAAUACCGGAUACCCCCGGGCGCCGCAUGGCGCCCGGGCUAAAGCCCCGACGGGAGGGGAUGGCUCCGCGGCCCAUCAGGUAGACGGCGGGGUGACGGCCCACCGUGCCGACAACGGGUAGCCGGGUUGAGAGACCGACCGGCCAGAUUGGGACUGAGACACGGCCCAGACUCCUACGGGAGGCAGCAUG
rnacentral:rRNA from 1 species